ensembl:lncRNA ERVK13-1 endogenous retrovirus group K13 member 1
AGGAGGCUGGGCCCGCUUCCGGCGGGAGCGGAGCACGGGGUGAUCUGGGCACUAACGCUGAUGGGGAGCAGCGGACAUCAGCCUCGACCUCCCACGAGCGGUGCACGAGCGCCUGACCCAGACCUCGACCCUAGCCUUCACCCCCACCCUGACUCCAGUUCAUGAACUGGUCAAAGGAAGAGCCAUGCCAGCAAACGUCUACACUGUACAUGCUUUUUAUUACAAGACUACGGAGCAUAGGAGGAAAAUUCAUCAUCUGGUAACUACACCUAAAGCACAAAUAUUUGGGGGGAAAAAAAGAACAGAUUCAUUAAAUUAUAUGAUUAAAUCAUUGA